UUAGGUUUAGAGGGCAGCUCAGCUUUUACUUUGGAUUUUGUAGAAGGUGGUGGAGAAACUGUGCUUGUCUGGAGCAUUUCUGCUGAUUAAGAGGAAGCAUUGUGAAGUCCUGUCUCAAGAGAGGAAGUGGAAGAAGUGCUGCAGAGUGCCUGGAGAGCUCAAGUAGGAGGCAUAGGUAGAAUCACACAGGGAACAGAGGAAGCAAGGAGGGUGAACAAAUGACUGCUCUGAAAUGUUGGGGAAUUAAGUGUGCUCUCCAUGUGCUGUGAAGAAGGGCUGAAAAUCUAUGGCAGGGGAGUUUCAGCAGUUCAGCAGAGCCCCGGUGUGUUCACUGCUCCUGCAAUGGAGAUUGUAAAACUAGGGCAGCUAGAAAAUUGGGAAAAAUGUUUCAGCAAGCAAUAAUGGAUAUUACUUUGUUUACUGUAGCCCUGCUAAAUAAUGUACAAAUGUAUUCACAGGAAAAAAAAAAACCACAAAAAACAAAAAACAAAAAGUUGUUGUUAAUAAUAGAGCUAUUUCCAAAUUUUAAUGAGGCUCCUCAGAGGCACAGAGAUGCAUAGUGGUAUAUCUCAUUAUCUAAUUAGAGGACUACAGCUUACAUCAGAAGCAAUUUGGAUUAAACCAAUGUGGUCUCUGAAUCAAGGGACUGGCUUCAGCAAACGGGGGAAAGAUGUCAUCUUAAAAUUGGCUAUUUUUUCAUGGGUUAGGUAAAAAUAAUUUCAAUUAAUAAACAAAGCUUUUAGUGUGGUUAUCCUUGCACAGCACCCACUGGAAUAUGCACAGGGACCUGAAGAACUUCAGAAAGUACUACUUGUGAAUUUGGUGUGUUGCUCUCCUGUAAUAAUAAGGCUUGAAAACAGAAAGCCUGGCUUCCUGUGGGAAAUUCCAGUCAGACCAAUGGUAGAUACAGCCUAACAAGUAGACACAAAAAGAGAGGAGAAACCAUGAGUGCUCAAACUCUACACGAGUGAUGAACUGAAUUAUUUGGUGAACAUCUUAUGAGACUGUUGACAGAGCAGUCAGAAACUCUCAUUUGGUGAACAGAUUUCCAUUUACUCCCAUGGCUCAGGAUCUGGUUAUAGAUUGGAGAUAGGAGCCCUGUGAUGCUGUAUUAUUUUUGUCAAUAGCAGUCGUGGGUAAUGAGAUGUAUCUCUUAGUCUCAUUUGAAUUUUAGAAGACUUCUAAAGUUAUUUUUAAAACUUUAUCACAAGUGUCUGAAAGCAAUGAUAAGAAUGUGAGGAUAUGACUUCAUUGGAAACUGUGAUCAUGAGAUAACUGGAUAAAGAAUUUGAUUGUAAGCGGAAGAAUGUCGUCAUGCUAAAAAUAGAAUUAGUAAAUGUAAUUAUGCAGGUAGAGCUUUUGGUGCUAGGUUUCCAGUGCCAUAGUCUGUGUCUAUACAUGCAUGAGAGAAAGUUUGUAAUUUACUUGGUUACUCACUUUGUCACAAUGGAAAUUCUGCAUAUGUAUUUUGCAUAGAGAUCUGAACAAAUUUAUUGAUGUUUUAAUAAAACUGAACACUGAUAUAGCAGAAUGUGCAAGACUAAAAUAAUUGUGUUACUAUAUCAAUAUUUCUCUGAGGAUACGAAACUGUCUGAUGAUAAACUGGAAAGAAAGAUUAAUAGUGGUGUAUGCUCAGGCAUUUUAAAACCAGUUUUUUUGAGGUUUAUCAGAUGAAUUGUAAAGCAAAAUGUUGAUACCAAAUUAUUAUAGGAACUAUUUAGCAUAUAUUGCUCUAUAGGAAAUAAAUAAUUGGCAUCAUAAAACUGUAAAUUGUUUUAAGAAAUUUGUAUAUAUGUGUUGCUUAUACUGUUUCAUGCAAUGAGGAGAUCCAACUCAAAGAGCAUGUGCAGCAAUAAGCACACAUUCCCUGACAGACAGGCUUCCACACAGAAAAAACCUUGAUGUAUUAAGUAUACACUUGAGAAACACUACAGAGCAAACACUCCAGUUGCAGUCAUAUGCUGCUGAGAAUGUGCUGCAAUUUAAGGCUCAAUCAUAUGUUCUCCAAGGAAACCCACUGAUACCUAAUUACAGGAAGAUUACAAACGAUAAUGACAACAUAAUGAAUUACAGAACCUUUAUGACUUCUUUGCACAAUUUCCUGCUGUGAAUCAAGACAUGCAAGGAUAGCUGAGUGACACUUGCUCGUCUCUUCGGUGAGGAAGGGGAAUUAUGAAAUUGUGUACUAUUUGUUUUAUGGCAGUGAUGUAAGUUCGUGUGCCUGCCAUGUUUUUUGUGAAGUUGGAGCCAAGAAUAUACUAAUAUUGUGACAUUUCCUAGCAUAUUACUAUAUUUGUUGGCAGUGGAGCACCUUACACUUGAAGACUUCUGCUUUUUGGAUUUCUACGCUUCUGUGGUCUUAUUUAAUUUUGCCCUGUUGAGUCCUCUAAUUUGUCCAGCUGGCUUUGCUGUCAUACCCUAUUGCUUAAAAAUACAAAAAUAAGAAUUUGGAAGGAAAGCAAUUAGGGAUUUCUGAAAAAAUAAUGAAUAUUGGCAAUGUCAAGAUUACCCUUCCUCCCCAUUACCAUUCCUUGGGUUCCUGUUACCAUUCCUUGGGUUUCAGAAGUGGUCCUGCAGUCUGUCUUUGUUUACCCAGUUAGAAGUGAAAAUGAAGUCAAUGAAUGUAUCUUAACCACAUGUGAAGAAAUAAACUUCACGGAAA